CGGGAGCGGAGUGAAAUAGUACCUGAAACCGUGUGCCUCAAGCCUGGGAGCGUCGGAUGGAAGCUUGCUUCCAUCUCGUGACUGCGUGCCUUUUGAAGAAUGAGCCUGCGAGUUUGCGGUGUGUUGCGAGGUUAACCCGGGUGGGGAAGCCGUAGCGAAAGCGAGUCCGAAUAGGGCGUUUCAGUAGCACGCUCAAGACCCGAAGCGGAGUGAUCUAGCCAUGGGCAGGUUGAAGCGGAGGUAAGACUUCGUGGAGGACCGAACCCACCAGGGUUGAAAACCUGGGGGAUGACCUGUGGUUAGGGGUGAAAGGCCAAUCAAACUCCGUGAUAGCUGGUUCUCCCCGAAAUGCAUUUAGG
rnacentral:ncRNA from 1 species